rnacentral:rRNA from 1 species
CGUGUAGGCGGUGCGGUAAGUUGGGCGUGAAAUCCCCGAGCUUAACUCGGGUGGGCCGUUCAAGACUGCCGUGCUAGGGUGCGGGAGAGGGAAGUGGAAUUUCCGGUGUAGCGGUGAAAUGCGUAGAUAUCGGGAGAAACACCUGCGGCGAAGGCGGCUUCCUGGACCGUAACCGACGCUGAGGCGCGAAAGCUAGGGGAGCAAACAGGAUUAGAUACCCUGGUAGUCCUAGCCCUAAACGAUGAGCACUGGGUGUGGCCCCUCACGAGGCCGUGCCGAAGCUAACGCAUUAAGUGCUCCGCCUGGGGAGUACGGUCGCAAGGCUGAA